AAAAGGUGAACAGUUCCUUGAGGUCCCGUACCUUGGAAUUCCCUUGUAACCGGUACGGGGAGAAGGGAACGAUGGGCCAGUCCUCUCCUGGAGACCGGAUGGCGGAGCAGCCCACCACCUGAGUACCACUGCUCCCGAGUCACCUCCCCACGUGCUGCUGCUCCCCAUCCCUGAGCUCCCUGUUCGGGUUGCCCCUUGUGGGCCCCUUGGGGCCCAUCCCCACCCUUCCACUUCCUGUCCCCACAACCAACAUCUCCUUGGACUUCAAGAUUUGGCACAAGCAGCUCAUCCUCUGUGCAGGCCUUCCCUGCCCUGCGUUGAAUGGUCGGCCCCCUCCGUUGGCACCCACUGGAUCCGCCAAGACUUCCAUCCUAGCACCCAGACUAUUCCUCAUACGCAUUUGCUUACGGAACCUUCUCGCUGGAAUGUGAUCCUAAGUGGGGAAGAACUUUGGUUUCCUCUGUUCCUAGGACAAAGGCUGGCAAAUAUUUUUUUUUAAGCUGUGAACUUCUUGUUAGACGCAAUAAAUAACAGAUCUGUUACAUAUUUAGUUGGUUCUGCAUGUGCAGCUAGAGCAAAGUUGAAAUGCCCUCGCUGGGCAUCUCGGACAGGGUUGGCGCUGGCCCUGGGUCACGGCCACGGCUUUGGCUUGGCUGGUGUAGCAUCCACAAAGGAGCGAAUUACACAACAGAGGAAAGGACUUUAAACCGUGACUCAGAUUCUCUGCAGCCCCUGGAGAACACAGACUUACACGGUUAACUCCUGCACAUCUGACUGCGCGAGGGUCCAAGAUCGAAGCCGUCGGGGAGGGUAUGACUUUGGCGAGGGGCAGGGCCAAGCAUGCGGCACUUCGAGGAUUAAACAAGUCAAGUGGUGCGAAGACUCAGAACAGUACCUGGCACACAGCGAAGCCGCCAGCAGAUACCAGCUGGGAACCACUGUAAAGCCGCCCACUCAGCUACUAGCUCAAACGCCGGACUCCCCUCAACUGUGUCAUCAGUGCGGCGUCUUUCCCGUGUUUUCUAUAUGGUGACGCUGAGAGGAGAAGUGUAACGCAGAUUUAAACGCCCGCAGUGAGAACGCGCCAACGGCCGUCGCGGGCUCAGGCUGAUCCCUCCUCUGUGGCUCGCCCCCUCCCGCGAGUGGCCUCCUGGACGGCGGCUUCGGGAACGGAUUACGUGAGACAAAGGCAAGGAAAUACAAAAUUAACAUUGUGGCUACUCCUUAUCAGAAUACAGACAAAGCCAGAUACACCAGCGCUCCAGAAAUGAAGGAAGCAGGUUGUUGGCUUUUGACUGGAAUUUCCUAGGAUUGUUACCACGUUGUACGACACUGGUCUAAAUGUUUCUCUGACACAGCCAAGAUCACGUGAACUGUAUCAGAAACAAUACAAUGCAGGCUUGGGGUUGUAGGGGAACAAAAGUGCUUUCAGGAAAUGUAUCAUUCCCAGGCAGAUGACGAGAAUACCACAGACCUCCAAGUACCUGGGUCCCUAAACAAGUUGGUCCGCCGCUGGGGGAGGGGACACGUACACGCUAAACAGAAGCAAAAGAGCAAGUAAAGCUAAUGCUUCCAGCUGACUUUUUUUCCCUUAGGUCAGUUUAAGUGUAAAAGGAACUCUUGUGCUCCUUCUGCCCCGCGCUCCGAGGCCGCCGGCGCCCGCACCACCUCAGGGCGCUCGGGGCGCCAGCCUGUCACCCUCCCAGCAGCGCCCCCUACGGCGGGCAAGUGGCUUCUCCAAACACACGGGACAAAGGCCAGAGCACACCCCGCGGCCCACAUGCAGCAAACUGGGGGGGAAAGGGCAAAACUCAAGCCGUCGACCUACAAUAUUUCAAGAACAGGAUGCCUCCCGGGAAAACGUGGCAAAACCUGGGUUUGCUGGUCGAUGUGACUCCGUGACAAGAGCAGCCAGAACCAAUACAGCACCAGGCGGGAGGGACGGUGGUUUAAGAUUAGAAGCAACCGAAUUAGAAAUUCAGACUCUUUGAUUUGUUUUCCUCUGUUUUGAGGGAUAAAAGAGAGGAAUAAAGAAUGUGCUAGAAAUUUGGGGAAUGCACUCCAAACCUCCCCCCACCCCUCCUCCACACACACACACACACACACACACGCACGCACGCACGCACACACACACACACGCCCUACUCCCCUUUGCAGAGGCCUUUAAUUAGCUCACACCCUCUCCUGCCCGGCUCCCUGAUACACUCUGACACCAGCCUGCAGGCCGCCGGCUCCCAGCGGACCCCCUGCCGCUCUUAUCUCCGCAGAUGCCUGGAGGACAAGAAGCGGGCCCCACAAGCUGCCGACCCCCAACUCAAACACGAUACCAGAUUUGUAGCCCUGGAGGCCUGAUGUAGAGCUGGCGCAGUGACUAACCAGCUCUGAGAAGCUUUCUGGGUCUCAGUUUCUCCAUCUGUCAUCUGAGAGGGCAAAAAGCUGACCUUCAGAUUCUUUCCCAGAUCUGUGUUCCAGGAGCGCCUAUGAACGUAUCAGAGGUUGUGUUGAGGGUUCAAGCCUGGGAAGAGCUGGCUUUGCAGUGUUCAGCUGGAAGGGGUGGCAAGGGCUGUAGGUUCGAGACCUCAGUGGAAAGGGAAAGGUGAGAGAGUGAGGUUACGAGGCUUCCCACAGAGCUCAAUUUUUUUUUCAUAAAACCAAAGUAGACACUGUUCACUGUUGUGUUUUAUCUUUAAAGAGAAACUAGUGACAAAGUCUUCUUGUGUUCCGUCCCAAGAAUUUCUUUCUCCACACACCUUAUUCGUGGAGGCACCUCAAUCUGUCCUGUUUUUAAACAUUUUUAAAGAACGUUCUGCAGCAGCCUCUCCUUGCUGAUGGCACAGGACACAAAAUCAAAAGGCAGGUAGCCGCAGGCUGGUGAGAGCUGGCUUCGUCCUUCUGCUCUGUCAGCGAUUCUGUGACAUCUCGGGCACGCCCGGCGGAGAUUCUGGAGUCGGGCUUCACGCAACGUAGCCGGGGUGCCAGGAACGUGCAGCCCGCUCCUGGGAAGUCAGACUAGCUCCCAACUGACUCCCCCCAAGUCCGAAAGGCGCUCGGCCUCCGCCGGGAGCCGGUCAGGCGGGGAAAAGCCGUGGGCUUACAGCUGUGAGGCCUGCGCACCGGCAACAACUGCAGGAUUCUGGCAAAACCACUUAACUUGUGUGACUGAGUUUCCCAUCACAAAAAGGGAAGGGAUCGUCACGCCUGCCCUGCUGGCCCCACCACGAUGUCAUAAGGUUCAAUCACCUCACGGACGCACUUUAGUCCCUCAGGGGGAGACGGUGUGGUCUGAGGCAAGAGCCUGGGGCUGUCGAGGAGCCGCCGGCCCGUCCUCCUCUGCACACUCCCUGUUGAUCCCCCAGGAGUCACUCAACUUCGCUGUGAUUCAAUUUCUUCUGUCAAGUGUGAACAACACUUACCCUCUUUAAUGUCUCAGUUUGUGAAGAUCAAAUAGUAACGAGUAUGUUGCCCAGGCUACAUGUCCGUAAGAGUACAAGGGGCUAUUAGCAGCUCUCCUGCUGGACCUUUGGCAUCAUCCCUGCCAAUUUUCAAGUUACCAAUAAAGAAAAUACAACCCCACUGGCCAUAAUAUCCUGCUCGGAAACAUUCAAAGGCAACAUGGCCGAAACAAUGGGCUGUUUGGAAUCAUGUUCUGCUUAAUUUUCAUUUCAGUGAAAACACUUGAGAGCUAUUGCUUCCAAACCAAUGUGUUGUAUAAAUUCAAUAGCUUGCAGGAAAUGUUUACUUAAACAUCUUCCUCUAAUAAAGCAAACAGAUAUUUUCCAUAAA